ACCUGGAUUGCUCAUUUGGUUAGAGUGUGGUGCUGAUAACACCACAGUGGCAGGUUUGAUCCCUGUAUGGGGCA